rnacentral:rRNA from 1 species
UACGUAGGGUGCAGGCGUUAAUCGGAAUUACUGGGCGUAAAGCGUGCGCAGGCGGUUUGCUAAGACAGGUGUGAAAUCCCCGAGCUUAACUUGGGAAUUGCGCUUGUAACUGGCAGGCUAGAGUGUAGCAGAGGGGGGUGGAAUUCCACGUGUAGCAGUGAAAUGCGUAGAUAUGUGGAGGAACACCGAUGGCGAAGGCAGCCCCCUGGGUUAACACUGACGCUCAUGCACGAAAGCGUGGGGAGCAAACAGG